CAUUUUCUCUGCCCCUCCACACCUGAGCAAUGUUGCCGUAGCAUGUGAUCUUCUUCUCCUACUGCUUUGGAUCAUUAAUACUCUUCUUUGGGAGCUCAAUUUGCUUAAAAUCCAUUUUCAAGAGUGGAUUUGAAGUUGGGUGCAGGAAAGCUCGACACAUACACCCCAUAGUGAGCAAAUCAACCUCCAGGUUUAUCAUUACUAAAUCGACUGUCGAGAAUUUUCUGAUAUUUGAAGUAGUGUAGGCUUAUAUAACAUUUCACUUUUUUGAAUCCUUUGUGGAUAUUUAAAUAUUGGUCAAGUGAAAAACCUUAUGUUUUAGCCUUCCCUACCCCAUUAUCCAUUAAUAGGUGAUACUCUUAAGUACGGGUACUUUAGGUUGUCUCUGUUGAUGCUCUUUUUUCCUAUUUUUUCCAUAUUGUUAAAACGCACAAAAAUGACGUUACCUUUUAUCUAUUGCUAGAUUUGCAAGGUAAUCUGCAAGUUGAUUGCCCUUCCUUAUGGUAUGCUAAAAUUUUGUUUGCUUUUCUGC